rnacentral:lncRNA from 1 species
AAAAAAUCAGCAACAUGAACCAAUAAAGAAAUAAUAACAAAAAUCUUACCAAAAGUGAUCCCAAGUUUUGUUGGUCACUAGAUUCCCUGUCCAGCUAUGAGAUAUUUCAUGUGCAAUGACAUUGGAGAGUGACUUGUCGCCUGCCAGUAGAGUAGGAGUUACAAAAGUAAGGCAAGGAUUCUCCAUGCCACCAUAAGGGAAGGAUGGUGGCAGGACCAAUAGGUCAUACUGUCCCCAUACAUACGGUCCUCCCAGAUCUUCUGCUAUUUUAAGCAUAGAUUCAGUCUCAGAAAACUCAUAAGCAGACUUUUCCACCUGCUCUUUCUCAGACCACACCAAAGUUCUUGGGCCAAUUUGCCUGCUUUCUAAAGCUCCAACAACUAAAGCAAUCAGGUAGCAGGGUAUUGGAACCUAAAGAGGGCAAACAAACGCACACCACGUGCUUGCAUUAGUGUUCACAAAUGUUACACAGUAAGACAAUUCAUAUUUAAAAGUAAGUAAAUUCCCUUUCAAAUCUCCUAAUAUUAGUAGGGAUAACUUUGCUUUUAUACUUCUCAAAUAGUUCUCAUCUUUAACAUAUAGC